rnacentral:lncRNA from 1 species
AUGGCAUUCUCCCAAGGCGCGGGACCACAUAAUCACAGUGCCAGUCACCCUGUAGGGAGAUCACAGGUGCGUCAGCGGGCUCCCUCGUCACUUAUUUCCGAGAGACAGACAGCUCUUAAAACCCAGAUACCAACCCAGAAGACAACACUCCAUUCCCUUCUUUUCGCGGCUAUCCCAGAGGUACAACCUUUCCUGCAAAUCACGUGCGCGUGCUCAGCACCCAAAUACCGACCCUGGGCAAAUUCGCCAAAAGAGAUUCGCUCAGCCUUGUGGGUGAAUCCCACGGAGAUCCCUAUAGUCUGCUUGCGAGAGAAAGCCCAUCGAUACGACGAGAAAGCGCUAGCAGAUAGCCCGACCGGCCGAAACGGACUGAAGAACGGAUUCCUUGACUUAGGGAUUUUUUUUUUUUUUUUUUUUUUCCGACUAAAAGACACAAACAACCUCGAAGUCCACUCCCUCUGUGGCGGACAAUCCAGACACAUUUCAGUAUCUGACCGACUUCCGGGCGGAGCGAUCCCCAAACGCACGCCGGUUAUUCCCUCACCUCGGCUCGCUUGGCCAUUUGGUUCCCAGCUAUCAGAGCAGACUGUUGGGCACGUUAGCCAAUGGGAAGAAGGAUUCCAGGCAGCUUGCGCGGGCAGGGGGCGUCUCCCAGACCCGAAGCCUGCUGCUGUUCCCCGCCGGAAGCAGGAUGCUGGAAACCCUCCGGGCGCCUUUGGCAGCCCCUGCGAGAGAUUUUGAACUACCGUGGCUGUCUUCAGUAGGAAAGAGUGGAAACAAAAAGGCAGCGCAGCAGUGGGAGAAUCCACUGACUCCCAAGGUGACAGAGAAAACCCGCGUCAUCACCAUGGCUCCAUUCUGCAGACAAUGGCAGUCUUGAGUAGUAAGCAACUGGAAUUUAGUGGCUUGGCCACAGCGCUUACAAAGUACAAGGUCCAAGUUCAAUCCCAAGCAUUCUGGAAUGUGUCUUUAUGGUAAGUAUCUAAUGCCAGGGAAAGCUUUAUUCCAGCAGUGAGUGGACUACCCAGUGAUCUCUGCCCUCCACUUUCCUGGAUCCCAUCCAUGUGCUGGACUGCAGGUAAGCUGACUCCACAGAGCCCUCCUCACCUGCAUGGGCCCUUGUAAGUUCUCCCCACUCUGAUCCUCUGAGCCUGGCUGCCCAAUGCUACUAGUGGAAUGAACUGAACCAGACUGCCACUUCCUCAAGGUAAGGACUCUGGGUUAUUCACAUUAUUUGAGUCCACAAAGUAUGACCAAAUAAAAAUUUGUGGAUGACAGUUGACGCUAGAGAU